UUGCUACCGCCGCCCGCAAAUUCUGUCUCCCCUCCCCUUGCCGCCGCCGAAGGGGUCUGCCGGAGGCCGGCUCAGCCCCUAGGAUGGCGGUGGCGGGGUGUAUCGCGCGGAUCUGGUGGGAGAUGGCGCGGCACAUUGGCGGUGGAGCACGCGGUGGCACGGUACCUAUGGGUGGUCGUAGCCGUGCUGGGGCACGCCGUGGCGCGCGCCGCAGUGCUCGUCGGGCGGCGACUGAGGCCCAGGCGGCCAUGCGUGGCGGGGUGUCGCUGUCAGGGCGUCGUGGCCUGCCUCCGUGCCUCGCUCGAGGAUCUGCUCCGGUCGUCGCCGCCGUGCGCUGUCGGUGGGGCUAGGGCGACGCCGAGCUGUGCUUCUUCAAGGCGGAGGCCGUUGACACGUGCGUCGGCGGGCAGAUCUGUGCGGGGGUCGGCGCACCGUGGCUUGGGUGACUCGGCUGGGCCGGUGCGCUGGCUGCGGCGAGGAUGUCCACUGGGUGGUGACUGCGGUGGAGCUCUGGCGGUGCGGUCGCAGCGCUGUUGCUGCCUGCUGGGGCUACAUUUUGGUCCCGCGGCGGUGGCGGGCUUUCCGACUGUGGGCGAGUGGCUACUGUGUUGA
rnacentral:misc_RNA from 1 species